AAAUGUUUAUUCAUUUUUUGAUAGAGACAGAGCGUGAGUGGGGGAGUGGCAGAGAGAGAGGGAGACACAGAAUCCGAAGCAGGCUCCAGGCUUCAGGCUCCGAACUGACAGCACAGAGCCCAACGCGGGGCUCGAACUCACGGACCAUGAGAUCGUGACCUGAGCCGAAGUCAGACACCCAACCGAUGGAGCCACCCAGAUGCAGAACUGCAGCCUGCAGGUGAGGGACCAGCCACACCAGGUGAGGGCCUUCUGGCCUCCAGCAGCUGGAGUGUGGUAACCAGCAGAAAUGCCCACUGAGGCCUCCGCACAGCGUCCCCCUCAAAAGCAUCCGUCUCUGAAUAGCAGGCAGGCUGUCGUCUGGAGUGACAGGUAUCUAUUCAGGUAGUGGCUGCUAUUGUCUUCUCCCCUGGAGCACCAAGAGGAAUUUUGUUUCACUUUAAGGAUUCUGACAGCAUUUCAGAAUGUCGUACUCCAAGCGGGUUCAAUCCCCCCUCUCAUGGGGAGGACGCAAUGACAUUAGAGUGUACAUUUUUUUUCUUUAAAUUGCAGAUGCCUUAAAAUGAGAUUGUCAGGUUUGUUGGCUUGUCAGACUAAAGUAUCAAGAUUGUCACAGUGUAUUAUAUCACUAUAAUAUGAUCAUUGUACACGGAACUAAUGAGUAAUAUUGUACUUAGUGGUGGGACUGAGUCACAUUAACAUUAAAAACGGUGAAAGCCUUGCGUUUUACCAGAAUCUAGGAAAGAUGCUAGCUUGUGGGAGGUGAGGCCGGGAUUUCAUCAUCCAGAGAAGGUCAGGAAGCCGUCUUUAAAGAGAGGCAGGUGUGGUAGUGGUGGCAAGCCGAGGGCUGUGCUGGGGAGACCAGGGCAACACGGAGUGGGGGUGCUCCUUGGGGAGGCUGAUUGAAGCACCUGAUGGGUACUCAGCAGUGGUUUUCAAAGGAAGGAGUGAAUGUCCAUUGUGAGUUUUCUUCCCAAUUAAAAUCACAUGCAGCUAUACUAGAAGCAAUUUGGAGAGGAGUGUUAUUUUACGUUUAUUUAUUUUGAGAGAAAGAGGGGCAGAGAGCAGGGGAGAGAGAGAGAGAGAGAGAAUCCCAGACAGACUGUGCACUGUCAGCACAGAGUCCAACGUGGGGCUUGAACCCAUGAACCAUGAGAUCACGACCUGAGCAAAGUCGGACAGUCAACCGACUUGAGCCACCCAGGUGCCCCAGAAGGAGUGUUAUUUUAGUAUCUGCCUUGCCCUCCUUGGCUAUUUAUUCACCCAUUUGUUCAUCCAUCCAUCCAUGCAUCCAUUCAUCCAUUAUCCAUUAGGUGUUAAUAAGCCCUACCAUGUGCCAGGCAUUAGGCACCCACUGGUAUGGGUAAUAGGCACAGGCCUGCCUGGCAGGCUUGAAGUGCAGGAGUACAGGUGUUGACCGAGUGCAAGUAUAAACUAACACCUGCUGUCCAAGUGAGGUAAGCACUGGAGACACCUAAUGUAUUUGGAGGAAGUAAUGGUGAAGCUGGGAACUCCGAGGAGGAGGAGGGGGAGGGGUUAGGAUGGGAGAGGUUGGGGAGGAGCUUCGGAGGUACAGGAAGCUUCAUUCCUGAAAUGGAGAGUGCUUAGCACCCGUGGGGACUGAUGGAAGGUCAGAGGGACUGGAGAGAAGCAAUGGCCUCUGGGGUCAGACAGACACGAGUUGGAUGGGGGGAUCACUUGACCUCUCUUAGUUGUUAAGGACUUCAUAACAGUCCGUAAAGCCCUCAGCACAGGCCCUGGCACAGAGUAGAAAUUCAGUGCAUGGAAACAACCAGUAUUGUUACUGCUAUGUGGCAGGGUGAAGGCACCCAACUACCUGUUCUGUGGUAGAUGGACCUUGUGGGCAGGGGUUGGAUAGACAAAGGGAAAGGCACGUGCAAGCAUGAUACCACAGGUAUACCUGAAUUAGGAUGCAGAAGAGAACAGAAGAGUAAGUGCUUAACAUUGAUUCGGGAUAACAGUAACCUAAACUAAACAUUCAUCAGCUUUGUUAGUGGUAAGCGACGCCUUCACGUGUGGUACGUUAGCUUGUACCUCAUAGUUUAUUUGAGUGGUACCUCCUAGAUUUGUUCGGGAUACAAACUGCACAACCAUACUCAAAAUCCCUGAAUCCAAUACACUGUUCUUGGCGUGCCUACAAAGUGGUAAAUUUGAAGUCUGUUCUUUUUUUCCAAGGCAGACUACUCUUGCGCCUACUGCUGUUGAAUGUUUCCUAAAACUGAUAGGAUUUAGAGGGAUUAUCGUUUCCAAAAGAUGCGCGUAGCUGCCUCUCACUAAUGUUACAGCAAACUGCAUUCAGACUUGCAGAAGAAACAUUUCCCAUAAGGACUGUUAGAAAAGUUAAAAAUGUGUACCCAGAACCCUUCUAGAAGUCAAAGAUACCAGUGUUCAGAGUAUGCACACUUGGUUCUUUGACACCCUGGGCCCCAUUUCCCCAUACUCAAGAGGGGCAUGCUAAGAUGAAGUGCCAAAGAACAUCGUCGUCGAUCCAGCAUGUUAAAGCAUGGUUGAGAUAAUUUUGCAUGGGUGAGGUGUGAACAUAUUUGUAAAGGACUAACCUGGGCUGGUAUUCCAGGAAAACGAUUUGGCUAAAUGCGUAUUUUAUUCCACUUGUUUCCUUCAUUGGUAUCUCCCCCUCGUUAUUCUUGAUACUAGUCUUUGUUGAGGGUAAACAAAGGGUACCCAAUGAGGGUAAAAUGCACUUCAUUAGUAUGCCUCUAGGUGAGACGUGGCUUUUUCCAGCCUGUACUUCCAGAAGAUUAUAAAGCUCUUAUUUGCUGUGAAUUUUUGUCUAGAGGAAAAGCAUUCACUGAUGGGUUGACUGAGCUUUGUAACCAAAAUGGCUGAACAAAUGAGAUGUGGGGAUUCUAUGCCGGCUUAUCACUUCGGAAUGCAUAAAGCGGGGAGUUCUGGGGAGGGGAGAAUGGGGAAGAAGCAGGAGGAGAGCAGAAACAGGCUGGAGACUCACCAGUCCUGCCAGGCACGGCUUUGUUUGGCCCGGACUGUCUGUGGUAGGCAAGGGCACACGCGUAUUCUCACGCGGCUCCACUCUCCCUUGCCUGCAAGCCCGCUGCCCCUGACUCUUUUUAGAGUGCCAGGUCCGAGUGUGGCUGAAAGAGCCGUCUGCAGAGCCUGCCACGUGCACAUGGUCAGCUUUUUGUGGAAGCUGCUUAUUGGGGGUACUUUAGAACUCGGCCUCUUUGUCCCACAAACAGCAUACUUCUGUUGGUUUUUUCCCCCUAAAUUGAACCACUCCUGUCCCUAAUUGUGUCACUCCUGCUGUCACCUCCUAGCCAUCAGAGCCCGUGGCAUGGUUCUGAUUGUGUUGCAAUGCGUCCUUGAAGCAUUCUUUUUGUUGUGUUCAAUGGCUCUCCUUCAGCUCAUAACACAGUGGUCGCACUGGAUUCCUAGGGUCACCCAUUCUCUGCUGAGGACCAGCCCAGAAAAGCUCAGUCGUAAUGAACGGGGCUUCAGACGGACAGACGCACACACAGGCUUGAGAGCCCUCCUGGCUUCGGCCACUCUAACAAGAUUUUGUCAUUUGUGGCUUUUGCACAUUGGAAAAAACUUUCAUCUCUGA